GGAAAUUUGGCAGCAAAUGUAUUUGCUUUCAAAUAUGACGCGGCUCAUACAAUAACAAAAGUGUCUCUGAUUUGGCAUUUUGUAGUUGGCAAUAUGAUACCUUACUGAUGCCUAGUCAAUGUUGCCGUGUGGUGCGGCGCUCCGCCAGCUGCUGCGCCGGGGUUAGCGGCGCUCAGCAGCUAUCAGCUGACACGGCGCGCCGUGCUCGAUCGCCGCGGCGCAUGUGCCGCUGCGCGACGCGCCGGGCGCCGACGGCCGUCGUCUGGCAGCAACAGCGCUGCCAGUGACUCGCUCUGCUGCUGCAGAAACUGGACAAGGAUCGUAGAAUCGUGGCGUUCCAUCCGUAAAAGUCGAUCCCAGGCGGCCUAGUCGGAGAACAGGCCUAGUCGCCGGGCUGUCAGCCACCGAAUAGCAACUGGCGCAUCGCAACUCGGAGCUGGCCGCCCCGCCGAGGCUGAGCACACCACACCCUGGAGGACCUGCGCGCGCGCCUCUCCGAGCUGGAGCAGGAGAGCGGGAGACGCGCGGCUGACCUGCGCCUGGAGCAGGGGCGCACGCGGCUGGUCGAACAGGCGCGCAGGUGCAGCGGCGACUCGAGAAACAGGCUGAGUGUGAGGUGUCCUCCAGUCAGCAGGCCGCCGCUCAGAUGUAGAUUCUCAGGCUCACUGCCAGACUGUGGGGCGGCGCGCGCCACGCCACUUCAGCACGAGCCUGUGAUCUUGUAAACUGUGAACACUGCCAGUUCGGAAUUAAAAGAGUAAAAUCAGUGAACGUUCACUUCGGCUUCAUCGACGAGAGCAGCCAUCCAUGCGCGGC